rnacentral:rRNA from 1 species
GACGAACGCUGGCGGCGUGCUUAACACAUGCAAGUCGAACGGAAAGGCCCUGCUUUUGUGGGGUGCUCGAGUGGCGAACGGGUGAGUAACACGUGAGUAACCUGCCCUUGACUUUGGGAUAACUUCAUGAAACUGGGGCUAAUACCGGAUAGGAGCUCCUGCGGCAUGGUGGGGGUUGGAAAGUUUCGGCGGUUGGGGAUGGACUCGCGGCUUAUCAGCUUGUUGGUGGGGUAGUGGCUUACCAAGGCUUUGACGGGUAGCCGGCCUGAGAGGGUGACCGGCCACAUUGGGACUGAGAUACGGCCCAGACUCCUACGGGAGGCAGCAGUGGGGAAUAUUGCACAAUGGGCGGAAGCCUGAUGCAGCAACGCCGCGUGCGGGAUGACGGCCUUCGGGUUGUAAACCGCUUUCGCCUGUGACGAAGCGUGAGUGACGGUAAUGGGUAAAGAAGCACCGGCUAACUACGUG